rnacentral:rRNA from 1 species
UUCUGGAAUCCUGGAGAGAUUUGGGAGUGCCCGAAAGGGAGCCGGAACACAGGUGCUGCAUGGCUGUCGUCAGCUCGUGUCGUGAGAUGUUGGGUUAAGUCCCGCAACGAGCGCAACCCUUGUCGUUAAUUGCCAUCAUUUAGUUGGGCACUUUAACGAGACUGCCGGUGACAAACCGGAGGAAGGUGGGGAUGACGUCAAGUCCUCAUGGCCCUUAUGGGUAGGGCUUCACACGUCAUACAAUGGUCGGUACAGAGGGUUGCCAAGCCGCGAGGUGGAGCCAAUCCCAGAAAGCCGAUCGUAGUCCGGAUCGUAGUCUGCAACUCGACUGCGUGAAGUCGGAAUCGCUAGUAAUCGCGGAUCAGCAUGUCGCGGUGAAUACGUUCCCGGGUCUUGUACACACCGCCCGUCACACCAUGGGAGCGGGUUCC